rnacentral:rRNA from 1 species
AGAACGAACGCUGGCGGCAUGCCUAACACAUGCAAGUCGAACGAGACCUUCGGGUCUAGUGGCGCACGGGUGCGUAACGCGUGGGAAUCUGCCCUUCGGUUCGGAAUAACUCAGGGAAACUUGAGCUAAUACCGGAUAAUGACUUCGGUCCAAAGAUUCAUCGCCGAGGGAUGAGCCCGCGUAGGAUUAGCUUGUUGGUGAGGUAAAGGCUCACCAAGGCGACGAUCCUUAGCUGGUCUGAGAGGAUGAUCAGCCACACUGGGACUGAGACACGGCCCAGACUCCUACGGGAGGCAGCAGUGGGGAAUAUUGGACAAUGGGCGAAAGCCUGAUCCAGCAAUGCCGCGUGAGUGAUGAGGGCCCUAGGGUUGUAAAGCUCUUUACCCGGGAUGAUAAUGACAGUACCGGAGAAUAAGCCCCGCUAACUCCGUGCCAGCAGCCGC